GUUUUUUUUUUAUCAUAGUAAAAAGCACCAUACAUGUACAUUCAAUGUGUGACAAUGGCAAAAGACAUAGAGUCUCCCUCCCCUCUGUUUGAAGGGGGGAGAGCCCUACAAGGAGUGCACAAGGGGUUUGAAGGAGAUAGUGAACGUUCAAAGAGUGCACAUUGCUUCAAAAAGAGAAGCCAGCAACAUCUUCAAGCACUUCAGUAAUGAUCCUUCCGCAGGUUCACCUACGGAAA
rnacentral:misc_RNA from 1 species